rnacentral:rRNA from 1 species
UAACGAAUCUUCCGCAAUGUACGCAAGUAUGACGGAGCGACGCCGCGUGUAGGAUGAAGCCCUUCGGGGUGUAAACUACUGUCAGGGGUUACCAAGUUCUGAGGAGCCCCAGAGGAAGGCACGGCUAACUCUGUGCCAGCAGCCGCGGUAAGACAGAGGUGCCAAGCGUUAGGCGGAAUCACUGGGCUUAAAGCGUGUGUAGGCGGGUUCCUAAGUACCUUGUGAAAUCCCCCGGCUCAACCGGGGAACUGCUGGGUAUACUGGGUGCCUUGAGCCAACUAGGGGCUGCCGGAACAAGUGGUGGAGCGGUGAAAUGCGUAGAUAUCACUUGGAACGCCAACGGUGAAAACAGGCAGCUGGGGUUGUGCUGACGCUGAGACACGAAAGCCAGGGGAGCAAACGGGAUUAGAUACCCCCGUAGUCC